rnacentral:rRNA from 1 species
AUACGGAGGGUGCAAGCGUUGUCCGGAAUCAUUGGGCGUAAAGAGUUCGUAGGCGGUAUGUUAAGUCUGGUGUUAAAUGCAGAAGCUCAACUUCUGUUCGGCACUGGAUACUGGCAAACUAGAAUGCGGUAGAGGUAAAGGGAAUUCCUGGUGUAGCGGUGAAAUGCUUAGAUAUCAGGAGGAACAUCGGUGGCGUAAGCGCUUUACUGGGCCGUAAUUGACGCUGAGGAACGAAAGCCAGGGUAGC